UGAGGAAUAUUGGUCAAUGGGCGAGANCCUGAACCAGCCAAGUCGCGUGAAGGAAGAAGGAUCCUAUGGUUCGUAAACUUCUUUUAUAGGGGAAUAAAGUGCGGGACGUGUCCNGUUUUGUAUGUACCCUAUGAAUAAGCAUCGGCUAACUCCGUGCCAGCAGCCGCGGUAAUACGGAGGAUNCGAGCGUUAUCCGGAUUUAUUGGGUUUAAAGGGNGCGUAGGUGGCAUUUUAAGUCAGCGGUGAAAGUUUGUGGCUCAACCAUAAAAUUGCCNUUGAAACCGGNAANCUUGAGUANAUUUGAGGUAGGCGGAAUNCGUGGUGUAGCGGUGAAAUGCAUAGAUAUCACGCAGAACUCCGAUUGCGAAGGCAGCUNACUAACCUANAACUGACACUGAAGCUCGAAAGCGUGGGGAUCAAACAGGAUUAGAUACCCUGGUAGUCCACGCAGUAAACGAUGAUUACUAGGAGUUUGCGAUACACAGUAAGCUCUCCAGCGAAAGCGUUAAGUNAUCCGCCUGGGGAGUACGCCGGCAACGGUG
rnacentral:rRNA from 1 species